CUGGUUCUGGGUCACAGGGUAGGCUCUGUGAACUAUGGUUUUACUAAGAUAAUGUGGUCCUAAGGGUUCAGAAGCCAUAGAAUUUGCC
rnacentral:tRNA from 1 species